UGUGAGUGAGGGAGAGAGAAAGACAGAAGUUUCUCCUCCCAUUGGCGACUUCGCAUGAUGGCAAUGUUGAGCAGUGUAGGGGUUGAUCAUGAUCAUGUGACAGCCAGCUUUGGGAGAGAGAACACCACUGACUGAACACAGAAAUAUCUAAAGGAGUUUCCAUAGCACGAGAGAUAGUGAACGUUGCCCGUUAUUCAAGUGCUCCCAAAAGGCAUCGACGGCUCGGUGAAAAGUGCUGGACAGAAGCUGCUCUGAACAGCCCGGAUAAAAAAAACGUUCUCCGAGGACAGAAGAGAGAGAGAGAGAGAGAGACGCACAAAUCUCAGCGGGUAUGCGGGAGUUUUCGGAGUUAUUUGACGGCAAACAUAGUACAAACUAAUAAGAACUCGCUCGCAGAUUCUUUUCCUUUAUUGCGUCAUCAGUUUUGUAUUUAAAAACUGUCAACCGACAAUUGUCGGUUAUACAAAUUUUCAAUAUUGCGUUUGAAAAAGUAACGAUUGCGGGGCAGGAGUUUGGAUACUGGAAUAAAACGGGUAACACAGAUUACACCCCUCUGUCGCCCUUUUUUCCGUGGGGGUCUGUCGUUUAUUUCCCUCAGCCCGACACAUUUCCGAGGUUUUUAGGCAAUAGUUCAAACAUGGUUGGGGAAAUGGAAACGAAGGAGAAGCCCAAACCGACUCCUGACUAUCUGAUGCAGCUCAUGAACGACAAGAAGCUGAUGAGCAGCCUCCCAAACUUCUGCGGUAUCUUCAACCACCUCGAAAGACUGCUAGAUGAAGAGAUUGGACGGGUACGGAAGGACAUGUACAAUGACACAAUGAACGGCAGCACAGACAAAAGAACAUCGGAGCUCCCGGAUGCUGUGGGGCCCAUUGCACAACUCCAAGAGAAACUCUAUGUGCCUGUCAAAGAGUACCCAGAUUUUAAUUUUGUGGGAAGAAUCCUGGGACCCCGUGGCCUGACAGCCAAACAACUGGAAGCAGAGACAGGCUGCAAGAUUAUGGUGCGAGGCAAAGGCUCAAUGAGAGACAAGAAGAAGGAAGAGCAGAACAGGGGGAAACCUAAUUGGGAACACCUGAAUGAAGAUCUGCAUGUCCUCAUCACUGUGGAAGACUCUCAGAACCGAGCUGAGAUCAAACUCAAAAGAGCCGUCGAGGAGGUCAAGAAACUUCUAGUUCCUGCAGCGGAAGGUGAAGACAGCUUGAAGAAAAUGCAGCUGAUGGAGCUGGCCAUCCUCAACGGCACAUACAGAGACGCCAAUGUCAAGUCACAGGCCUUGGCUUUCUCCUUGGCCGCCACCGCACAAGCUCCCCGCAUCCUCACAGGCCCCUCCCCGGUGAUGCCCAAUGCAGCUCUUCGUAACCCUGCACCUGCUACCCCAACCCUCAUGCCCCUCAUCCGACAGAUCCAGACCUCCGCCAUCAUGCCCACAGGCACGCCCCACCACGCGACCCUCGUACCCCAGACCCCUGAGUCAGGCAUCAUCUAUGCACCCUACGACUACCCCUACACCCUCGCCCCUGCAACCUCCAUCCUCGAAUAUCCCAUUGACUCCAGUGGUGUUUUAGGUAUGGCUUUCCCAACAAAAGGCUAGUAAUGCUCAGAGGUUUAACAGUCUACAACCCAUACGAGUGUUAAAAAAAUGCUUUGCUUUACAGCUGCCUUGGAACAAAAAAACAGCAAAUGAAGAAACUGAUUUAAUUUUUCAGAAACGAAAGACUAAAGUUUAUUACUAAUGUUUACACUAGUCUUAACUGUUUUUGACUUAUUAAAAAUUGAUAUUUUAAGAAAAAUACUGAUAAUUAAGCCUUUAUUACAUUCCUCUGUUUGAAAUGUAAUCUAUAUUUGUUUAGCUUGAAAUAUUUGUAUUACUUAUUUUCCUGCAACUGUAUCUUAGAUAUUUAGAGAGUGAUCAGUAUUAUUGCUACUAUAACUUGCUUGUGAAAAACGUUCUACAAAUGAAAUAGCUUGUAGUGAAUUCAAAUGACCUGAGGCAUAUAGUAUGUUAAGAAUUAUUUGUUAGGUGGAAUACAAGGGCUCUAUGGUCAUGGUUUAAUUUAAAGCAUUAAAAAGUUGUGUUUUUAUGGAAAUACUUAGAAUUACAGUAAUGAGAAUUUGUCAACGGGCGACAGCAUAUGAUGAAAUUUUACUAUAAUGGGGCCCUUGGAAUUGUUAAAGAGGAAAUAUCACUUGUGCCUUGUAAUUUGGUCUUACAGGCCUUUUUGUGAAGUGUGAUGUAGUUUUAAUGAAUUUUAAUGAAUAAUCUGAUGUUAAUUUUUGUUUUGUUGGCAAUGUUGCGCUUUGAGCAGGUGCAGUGACUACUAAAGUACGAAGGCAGGAUAUGCGCGUCCAUCCUUACCAAAGGGUAGUGACCGCAGAACGAGCCGCCACCGGCAACUAACCAAUGACCCUCUGAGCUCUCAACUCUUCACCCAAUGAUGACCUGACCAUUGCCUGCCUGCUGACCAGUUCUCUGGCUCUCGUCCUUCGCUUCUAUGUUUUGGCGGCCUGCCAGCGAGCCCAGCAGCUUUAAAUGCUUAACACAGCCGAGAAGCCGUGAUGGCCCCACGCCACCACCCGCAGAACAGAAUUGCUCCCCUUCUCAAAACCGAGGACCUCCUUGGUCAGGUGACCUGGGCUACUCAGCCUGCACUGAAGUGUCAAAGCAAUAACACUGUCUGGGCAAAACCCCACUGUUAGCCUUUCACACACUAAAUACACACACAUUUGUAUUGAUUUUUAAAAAUAAAUGGUUGAGCAUUAUGUUUAAAGGUAUAGUCCCAAAAAUGAUAACUUCUGUCAUCAUUUACUCAAUCUUUUGUUGUUCCAAACCUCUAUGACUUUCUUUCUUCAGUGGAUCACGGUCAUAUGGGUUUGGAACAACAUGAGGGUGAGUAAAUGAUGACAGAAUUAAUUUCAUUUUUGGGUGAUCUGUCACUUUAAAUCUCUUAGUUUGUGCACUCACAGUCUCUUAUAUUUCUCAUACCAUCCUGAAGAGUUGGAAACAAAAUAACACAUUUGAGUAAAUAAUUGGUGGAACCAGCUAUUUAAAACUGACCUCUAGGUCCAGAUGUCCAUAAGGGAUGUAAAAGCCAUGCUUGCCUACCAGCUUUUUAUUCGUAGAGCUGUUGAAAUGCAUCCAGACGCAUGAACAAGUGUACAAACACUGAAUAUCAAUUGAUAUCUUUUUGAUAUGAGGGUGCUGCACAGGAAAUUACUAUAUAUUUUUCACAGGUGAUCAUUUUUGUAUUCAGAAACAGUAUUGUUUAAAUGUGAUGAACAAACAAUGUUUAUUUCUUUACAAUGACAGACAAAUUUUAGAGACCAAAACGGUGUCUUUUUUUUAAAAUCAAACAAACAAGUGCCUUAUUUUACACAUCAUCAUCAAUUACAAACAAGUAUGAAUGUCCAUCAGUGUGUUAUAUGCCAACAUAUCAGGUAUUUCUCUUCAAGUCGUCUUUAUGAUAAUGAAAACAAGGGGUGUACAGAACUAAGUUGCAGCCAUUACACUCAUACUAGUUUUUUAACCCUCUUUUUUAAUUGUAUUUUAUUUUUCUUUAUGAAUAGUAAUUAAUAGAGUUUUACUCUGACUACAUUUUGAGACCUUUAUGCUCGCUAUCUGUUUGUUUUUUAUAUUGUAUGUGUACAAGCUCUCUAAUAUAUUAAUAGAUCCAUAACUACAUCUGUUACACAAGCAAUUAAGCCACCAACAAACUGGGCAUCAUUAGUAAAACUGUUAUUAUUUGGGAUAAUUGCACGAACCUUGUCAAGUCAUGUUCUGGCCGUAUUUCACACCAAAAUCACAAGAAAUAAAUUUUUUUAAAAAUCUUAAAGAAAACACAUUUUAGGAUUUCUUGCAUUUGUUACAUCAUAUUUAUGACAAUUAAGAACAUUUCCCACCAAAAUUCGCAUUACCAUAAUGCAGAAAAAUAUGUUAUUUAAACUGUAAAGUAUUUGGGCAUCAUGGUAGUAUUUGUUGAACUGCCUUUUGUUCUGUUUUAAAUACAAUUCUACUAUUUUUGUAUUACUAUAUUACAGAAAUGAGAACCUAAUGAGAAUAACUAUUGAGAAAAAUAGGAAUUGCCAAAAAAGUAAAAUAUUUGGACACACUACUGUAAAAUAAUCUUAAUUGUCCUAAAAAAAUAAAAUAAAAAUAAAAAUACAGUGGCAAGAAAAAGUAUGUGAUCCCUUUGGAAUUAGCUGGUUUUCUGCAUCAAUUUGGUCAUAAAAUGUGAUCUCAUCUUCAUCAAAUUCACAAGUAUAGACAAACACAAUGUGCUUAAGCUAACAACACGUAGUUAUAAUCUUUGUUGUCUGUACUGAAAACAUCCCAUUAUUGCUGUGGAAAAAGUAAGUGAACCCUUGGAUGUAAUAAAUGAUUGAUCCACUGUUGGCAGUAAUAACCUCAACCGUGCGUUUCCGGUAGCUGCGGAUUAGACCUGCACAACAUUCAGAAGGAAUUCUGGACCAUUCUACCUUACAGAACUGCUUCAGCUCAGCCAUAUUCUUAGGAUGUCUGGUGUGAAUGGCUCUCUUGAGGUCAUUCCACAGCAUCGUUAAUGGUUAAGGUCUGGGCUCUGACUUGGCCACUCCAAAAGGAGUAUUUUCUUUUCUUUUUUUAAGCCAUUCUGUAGUGGAUUUACUUCGAUGUUUAGGGUCAUUGUUCUGUUGCAUCACCCAGCUUCAGCUGGCACACAGCCACCCUGACAUUAUCUUGUAGGAUAUCUUGAGAAACUUGAGAAUUAAUUUUUCCCUCGAUAAUGGCAAGUGGUCCAGGCCACGAAGUAGCAAAGCAACCCCAAAUCAUGAUGCUCCCUCCACCGUUGAGAUGAUGUUUUCAUGUUGGUAUGUGGUGAUGAUCUUACGCCAUACAUAGUUCUGAGUGUUCUUCCCAAACAAUUCAACCAUGGUUUCAUCAGUCCACAAAACAUUUUCCCAGUAGCAUCCUGGAGGGUCAAGGUGGUCUUUGAAAAACUUCAGGUACACAGCAGUGUUUAUGUUGGAAAGCAGAGGCUUCAUUCGUGGUGUCCUGCCAUGGUCCACAUCAGCAGAUACUUCUUGUAAUAGUAAUUGCAAAUGUUUGAGUGCUUUUUAUAAAUCAAAGCACCUCCCACACCUCCAAUCUUGUUUCAUUAAUGGGAUGCCAGGUUUGCCAACUCCUGACUCUAAUUAGCUUUUGUUGACAUCAUUAGCCUAGGGGUUCACAUACUUUUUCCAACCUACACUGUGAAUGUUUGAAUGAUGUAUUCAGUAUGUACAAGAACACUACAAUAAUUUGUGUGAUAUAAGUUAAAACAGAUUGUUUUUUCAUUAUUGUAACUUAGAUGAUCAAACCAGAUUUUACGACAAAUUUAUACAUGAAUGCAGGUAAUUCCAAAGGGUUCACAUACUUGCCACUUCUAUAUAUUACCAUUUUUAUUUAUUGGUAAAAUGUGUUUUCCAUAAAUUUCUAAAUUUUUCACUAUACAUACAGUAUAUUUCAAGGAGCAUUUAUUCAAUUAAGCAGGUUAAAAAUGAUAAAGGUUUGGAGUUAAUUAGCACAAAACGUUUUACUGGUUAUAACAGGUUGGACCCCUAAUGAAGAAUUUAAUUUUACCAGAAGAGCAUAUUUGUGACGGACAUCUCACAUUUCUUCAUACCUUUCUAUGCAAAUGAUUUUCAUUUAAAAGUGACUAAAUACAUUUCCCCAGUUGGUCUUCCAGUUAAAUUUUCAAACCAUUUCAGAACAGAAGAAUGAGGAGAAUAAAAGCCUAUUAACAAACUAGAAUUACACUUUCCAAUGUGGUUAUCAUAACUGGAUUUUGUGAAGAUACAUCUCCUUUUUUAAUAAUAUUGGUUAUAUUUAUGCAGAGCAAAUGCAAGAUGUUUGAGGUUUUUGCAGUUGCUUGUAAUUUGUUUAUUAACCUGGAUAUUGCUAAAGGAAAAAUUCUGCAAAGAUGGAAUUUGUUUUUACAUGGAUCUUUUACCCAGUCAGUUAGACAAGGGACUGGAGUUGUUUGUUUGUGUUUCUUGUGGUUUUAUCGUUUCUUUCAUUUCAGUAUUAUGUCAGUGUGUGCAAGUAUGUGUGUCAUUGUGUUUACGGUGAUUGUUUGAGUGAGUGUUUAGUGUAUUGUAAAUGCCAAUGAACUGCAACUCUCCAUUCAAGGUUUGAUUAUUAUUGUUUGUUUUUUGUUUGUUUGUUAUUUUGCAAACCCAAGCAGCUCCCUGCAUUGGAGAAUAUACAGUCCUAUUUAUAACCAUUGUAACAUUUUAUAAUGUAUUUUUCUAUCAUAUUUUGUAUGUGAGAAAUAACAUUAAAUCACAUUUCCAGAUACGAAAGUAUGCCUUAUUAAAAAAAUUGGUAUUUGAGAGAAACACUUUCAAACACUCGAUAUUUGUAUUUUUUCCGUGAUUAUAUAAUUCCAUAGGAAAAUAUUAAAAAAAACAGUUUGAUUAUGAUAUAAUGAACAACAUUUGGUCCCAAGCUCACUCAAAGCAAGUGUUACAAAAGUUGUUAUUAUUUGCUGGGGUGUUCAGUUUGUCAUUUUUGCUUUGCCUCUGUGCCUUAUGUAAAUUGUAAGCUAUUAACCAUUUUAGUUAAUUUGAUUAAUUUUUUCUUGACGAUUGUACUAACAUUUGAUGGUUUCUAUACAUUAACCCCGUCAAUAAUUUAUUUUGUCUGCUUUGAAUCUUUAGAACAGGAGAUGUGUGAAACUAAGCAAGAGUGUUUUACUGACUUUGAAAUAUGCUGGACUAAACUCUGUACUGAGAAGCAAUAGCCGAAUAUUAAAAUCAUAGUUUUAAAAAGGAA